UACGGGGGGGGCAAGCGUUGUUCGGAAUUACUGGGCGUAAAGGGCUCGUAGGCGGCCAACUAAGUCAGACGUGAAAUCCCUCAGCUUAACUGGGGAACUGCGUCUGAUACUGGAUGGCUUGAGUUCGGGAGAGGGAUGCGGAAUUCCAGGUGUAGCGGUGAAAUGCGUAGAUAUCUGGAGGAACACCGGUGGCGAAGGCGGCAUCCUGGACCGGCAUUGACGCUGAGGCGCGAAAGCUAGGGGAGCAAACGGG
rnacentral:rRNA from 1 species